rnacentral:rRNA from 1 species
UAAGGAAUAUUGGACAAUGGUCGCAAGACUGAUCCAGCCAUGCCGCGUGCAGGAAGACGGCCCUAUGGGUUGUAAACUGCUUUUGUACCAGAGAAAACCUAUCUACGUGUAGAUAGCUGAUAGUAUGGUAAGAAUAAGCAUCGGCUAACUUCGUGCCAGCAGCCGCGGUAAGACGAAGGAUGCAAGCGUUAUCCGGAUUCAUUGGGUUUAAAGGGUGCGUAGGCGGGCUUGUAAGUCAGUGGUGAAAUCUCUCAGCUUAACUGAGAAACUGCCAUUGAUACUGCAGGCCUAGAGUAUAGAUGACGUUGGCGGAAUAUGACAUGUAGUGGUGAAAUACUUAGAUAUGUCAUAGAACACCCAUUCCGAAGGCAGCUAACGAAACUAUAACUGACGCUGAGUCACGAAAGUGCGGGG